UACGUAGGUGGCGAGCGUUGUCCGGAAUUACUGGGCGUAAAGGAUGCGUAGGUGGAUAAUUAAGUGGGAUGUGAAAUCCCCGGGCUCAACCCGGGAACUGCAUACCAAACUGGUUAUCUAGAGUGCAGGAGAGGAAAGUAGAAUUCAUAGUGUAGCGGUGAAAUGCGUAGAUAUUAUGAGGAAUACCAGUGGCGAAGGCGACUUUCUGGACUGUAACUGACACUGAGGCAUGAAAGCGUGGGUAGCAAACAGGAUUAGAUACCCUGGUAGUCCACGCCGUAAACGAUGGGUACUAGGUGUAGGGGGUAUCGACUCCCCCUGUGCCGUCGUUAACACAAUAAGUACCCCGCCUGGGGAGUACGGUCGCAAGACUAAA
rnacentral:rRNA from 1 species